AUGAGGAGGAGGGAGGGUGCAACAUCACUAGGCAGCAGCACAAGCACCCUGGCAGCACCCUUUGGGGACAUCCCUCCCUUGGCAAGAAAGGAGCCCAAGUCUCGGCCCUUCUCGUCUCCAGCAGCUCGCUGCUUCCCACUGCGCAGCCAGGCAGGAGGCGGCUGUGGCUCGGCGCGGCUCUACUCGGCUGCAGGGGGCUCCCCAGUGCCGUGCUGCUCGGCACCGUAUGGGCUCUCGACUGCAGAACUGCAGGGCAUUCCCCCCACGCAAGACUUCCACGCAGAGAAGCAUCUCCCUUACCCAUACGUAUUCCCGCACUGUGAUUUCCCAAGGAAAGAAGAGGUCGAUAAUGGAAAGCCUACAAUAGCCCCCUCCCUUGCCUUGUCUACAGCCCGCCCGGGGAGAAGAGAGAUUUCAGCUUUCCUGGAAAAGCGCUGUGUGCGCAGAGCUGCAUCCCUGUGUCCGCAGAGCCGUGCUCGUAAUCAGUCUCAGCCACUACAACUUGAUGGCACCCGGCAACUCCGUGAAAGAGUUGACACUGGAAGAUUAAGUAUGACUGCACCUCAGUGGAAACUAAAAAGAGCAAAUGGACAAACUGAAGGGUCUUUGGGUAAAAUUGUUGGAGGAUCUGUUUGUGCAUGCAUGUAUAACUUAAGGUGUCUGCAUGAGGAAGGAGAGAUUGAUCUAUCAUCCAUUCCAUUUUAAUCUAAUAUCAUCCAUUCUAUUUUAAUCUAAUAGUAAAUGUAUUUUAUGUCUUAAGGUCUUCUACACACUACUUUUUCUGAAUUGCUUUCAACAUUUCAACAGAUGAUUCUAAAGUUGGACCUUGUCUGAAACUGCCUUUUGAAUUUCAAAAGAAUGGUAAAAUAUCUAUGGGACAGCAGUGCAGACUACUAACUUCCUUGUUCAGGUGAAAGGAAGAAGUAUCUAGGGCACACAGUGACUGGAAUGCUGUCAUGGCAGUAGGAUAUGUUCUUGCUGUUCAAAUAUUCAGCUUGGCAUACUAGAUAUUUCUAGGUUAAGUUUUCUUUGUGUAAUAUCUAAUUCAGAUACUAUAGCAACUCGGAUGAGUGAAGAGGAAAGACAAAAAUGUAUUCCUAAUAGGAAUACCUCUUCAACUGCCAGCCAGGUCUUCCCUUCUCAUCUUCUAAGAAGACUCAGAAAGCAUUAAGAAAGUCCAUUCUUACCUAGUAUGAUGCUCUUACUCACUGGAACAAGUAUGGAUUUGGGUAGUGCUUAAUUGCAUCUAAUGAAAAUUAGUUAUUUUCUUGCAUCUUUCUAAAAUACAAAAGAUAUAGUUUCUUACAGUGAGGGAAAAACACGAAAGAUGAGUAACUGAAGAGGAAAGUGGUUUCCAUAUCUGAUGUAUCAUCUUUACUUUCAUUUGUGGUAGAGCUGAAAGUAUACUAUUUAAUAGAGCUUCAUGACCUACUACCUUCAUCCUUUGUGUUAGCAAGUGUUUUGAAAAUGCUGAAGUGUAAACAGUCAUUUAUUAGGUCCAGAAGUCAACCCUUAGAAAAGAAAAUAUAUCAGUCAAUCAGGCAAAAGUUCUGCUGGAGAACUGCUGUUUCCAAUAGCAUAUUCUUGAUGGAUUAACUGCUGCUGGCAUUGGUGAAUGGGUACAAAGACCUUCUGGGAAGCAUGAUAACACCCAGACUCUCAGAGCAUCUGCAGGCCAUGAAACAGAUAUAACAGUUUCUAUUUGGAAGUUAAUGGUUCCAGCUAGUAUACACCUAAAAUCUUUGCUUGACAAAACUGUAUCAACAGCUAUCAUUUCAAUGACAGUACAUCUUACAUCAGUUCAGAAAACUUUGCUUUUGCUUAUGCUGACCAAAAGCAUGAGGGAGGUUUCUUGAACACAGCAACCACAGUCAUGACUGGAUCAGGGAAACCUUUUGUGACCUUUUCCCUAGGAAAAAUGUGCUUUAAUUUCAGGGAGCCAGAGGGGUCUUAAAUGGUAUUUACUUCACUUAAUUAGGUAUACCAGUAGAAAAUUUCAUGACACCUCAUGAGGAAGCAAUAGGAGGGAAUUUGAAAACUGUUUGUUGUUUAAGAGGAAUAAAGAUGCUGUUUGUACCCA
rnacentral:lncRNA from 1 species